GGGCCCCGCACAAGCGGCGGAGCAUGCGGAUUAAUUCGAUGCAACGCGAAGAACCUUACCAAGGCUUGACAUGCAGGGAAAUCUCACAGAAAUGUGAGGUCCGCAAGGGUCCUGCGCAGGUGGUGCAUGGUUGUCGUCAGCUCGUGUCGUGAGAUGUUGGGUUAAGUCCCGCAACGAGCGCAACCCUCGUUCUAUGUUGCCAGCGGAUAAUGCCGGGGACUCAUAGGAGACUGCCGGGGUCAACUCGGAGGAAGGUGGGGAUGACGUCAAAUCAUCAUGCCCCUUAUGUCUUGGGCUUCACGCAUGCUACAAUGGCCAGUACAAAGGGCUGCGAGACCGCAAGGUGGAGCGAAUCCCAAAAAGCUGGUCUCAGUUCGGAUUGGGGUCUGCAACUCGACCCCAUGAAGUCGGAGUCGCUAGUAAUCGCAGAUCAGCAACGCUGCGGUGAAUACGUUCCCGGGGCUU
rnacentral:rRNA from 1 species